AUUGAACGCUGGCGGCAGGCCUAACACAUGCAAGUCGAACGAGUGGCGGACGGGUGAGUAAUGUCUGGGAAACUGCCUGAUGGAGGGGGAUAACUACUGGAAACGGUAGCUAAUACCGCAUACCAUCAGAUGUGCCCAGAUGGGAUUAGCUUGUUGGUGGGGUAACGGCUCACCAAGGCGACGAUCCCUAGCUGGUCUGAGAGGAGGACCCUCCCCACUGGAAUUGUGACCCGGUGCAGACUCCUAUGGGAGGCAGCAGUGGGGUAGAUUGCACAAUGGGCGCUAGCCUGAUGAAGCCAUGCCGCGUGUAUGAAGAAGGCCUUCGGGUUGUAAAGUACUUGCAGCGGGGAGGCGUUACCCGCAGAAUAAGCACCGGCUAACUCCGUGCCAGCCGCCGCGGUAAUUC
rnacentral:rRNA from 1 species